AUACAUGCAAGUCGAACGAGCUUCCGUUGAAUGACGUGCUUGCACUGAUUUCAACAAUGAAGCGAGUGGCGAACUGGUGAGUAACACGUGGGGAAUCUGCCCAGAAGCAGGGGAUAACACUUGGAAACAGGUGCUAAUACCGUAUAACAACAAAAUCCGCAUGGAUUUUGUUUGAAAGGUGGCUUCGGCUAUCACUUCUGGAUGAUCCCGCGGCGUAUUAGUUAGUUGGUGAGGUAAAGGCCCACCAAGACGAUGAUACGUAGCCGACCUGAGAGGGUAAUCGGCCACAUUGGGACUGAGACACGGCCCAAACUCCUACGGGAGGCAGCAGUAGGGAAUCUUCCACAAUGGACGAAAGUCUGAUGGAGCAAUGCCGCGUGAGUGAAGAAGGGUUUCGGCUCGUAAAACUCUGUUGUUAAAGAAGAACACCUUUGAGAGUAACUGUUCAAGGGUUGACGGUAUUUAACCAGAAAGCCACGGCUAACUACGUGCCAGCAGCCGCGGUAAUACGUAGGUGGCAAGCGUUGUCCGGAUUUAUUGGGCGUAAAGCGAGCGCAGGCGGUUUUUUAAGUCUGAUGUGAAAGCCUUCGGCUUAACCGGAGAAGUGCAUCGGAAACUGGGAGACUUGAGUGCAGAAGAGGACAGUGGAACUCCAUGUGUAGCGGUGGAAUGCGUAGAUAUAUGGAAGAACACCAGUGGCGAAGGCGGCUGUC
rnacentral:rRNA from 1 species